rnacentral:rRNA from 1 species
GGGACACGUGGUAUCCUGUCUGAAUAUGGGGGGACCAUCCUCCAAGGCUAAAUACUCCUGACUGACCGAUAGUGAACCAGUACCGUGAGGGAAAGGCGAAAAGAACCCCGGCGAGGGGAGUGAAAAAGAACCUGAAACCGUGUACGUACAAGCAGUGGGAGCCUCUUUAUGGGGUGACUGCGUACCUUUUGUAUAAUGGGUCAGCGACUUAUAUUCUGUAGCAAGGUUAACCGAAUAGGGGAGCCGAAGGGAAACCGAGUCUUAACUGGGCGUUAAGUUGCAGGGUAUAGACCCGAAACCCGGUGAUCUAGCCAUGGGCAGGUUGAAGGUUGGGUAACACUAACUGGAGGACCGAACCGACUAAUGUUGAAAAAUUAGCGGAUGACUUGUGGCUGGGGGUGAAAGGCCAAUCAAACCGGGAGAUAGCUGGUUCUCCCCGAAAGCUAUUUAGGUAGCGCCUCGUGAAUUCAUCUCCGGGGGUAGAGCACUGUUUCGGCAAGGGGGUCAUCCCGACUUACCAACCCGAUGCAAACUGCGAAUACCGGAGAAUGUUAUCACGGGAGACACACGGCGGGUGCUAACGUCCGUCGUGAAGAGGGAAACAACCCAGACCGCCAGCUAAGGUCCCAAAGUCAUGGUUAAGUGGGAAACGAUGUGGGAAGGCCCAGACAGCCAGGAUGUUGGCUUAGAAGCAGCCAUCAUUUAAAGAAAGCGUAAUAGCUCACUGGUCGAGUCGGCCUGCGCGGAA